CUAUUGUUCGAUGUCGUUGCAAUUGAUGAACCUCCACGAAAUCGCACAACAACCACCAUAGACCUCCAUCUUUAGAUCUGCCACUCUCACAAGCCGCACACUGAGUUUCCUCGCGUGAUUGUUGAAAUGGAGAUUUAAUUGAUGAGGUUGAAUGGAAGUUAUUGGUGACGGAGAAUCUAACGAUGAUGGUGGAAGCAUUUGUGAAGGACUAUCUUGCUCGAGAAAUAAAAGAAUACAUGAUUUUAGAUUCUUUCUAUUUUCAAGAGGGAUGAUGUUUUCAAAGUUGUCUUUCAUUUCAAUGCUCAUAAUAGACUUGAGGUUUUCAUCUUUUAUCGAGUUUGCUAUUCCCAU